CCCCGGUCAGUACUUGGCACCUAGCAGGCACUCCAUCAGUGUUUGAUGAGCGUCUGCUGAGUGCCGGCCAUU
ensembl:miRNA